rnacentral:rRNA from 1 species
CACGUAGGGCGCAAGCGUUGUCCGGAAUUAUUGGGCGUAAAGAGCUCGUAGGUGGUCUGUUGCGUCCGCUGUGAAAACUCGGGGCUUAACCCCGAGCCUGCAGUGGAUACGGGCAGACUAGAGGUAGGUAGGGGAGAAUGGAAUUCCUGGUGUAGCGGUGAAAUGCGCAGAUAUCAGGAGGAACACCGGUGGCGAAGGCGGCUCUCUGGGCCUUACCUGACACUGAGGAGCGAAAGCGUGGGGAGCGAACAGG